rnacentral:lncRNA from 1 species
AUGUUGAUUAGUGAUAUUUCCUCAUUGUCUAUACUCCCUUUUAACAGAAUAUAUUUACCUUCCCUAUCCCUUUUGAUGAGGUCUAUUUUUGUUUUGGCUUUAUCAGAUAUCAUGAUUGCAACUCCUGCCUUCUUUCUAUCAGUUGAGGUCCAAAAGGUCUUACUCCAUCCUUUAAUUCUAACCUUAUACCUUAUUUUUGAAUAUUUCAGGAGAAUUCAAAAUAAGAUGAACAGAGCAAGAAAGUUCACAAGAUUCAACAGCUCACUCUUGUCCUUGACUGAGAAAUAGUACUCUAACUCAUUUUAUUUUGAGGGAAUAAAGGGAAAUACAAGAUCCA